UGCUGUAGAUGUAUUUGGUCUGAAUCCAAACUGGUUUCGACUAAGUACAUUACAUUUUUUUAGGAAACUUUCUAAUCUAUCUAAAUAGCAAUAUUCUAGAAUUUUUGAGAAUACUGAUGUUAUGGCAAUUGGUCUAUAGUUGCUUGCAUCUUCUGCACUACCGCUUUUAAAAACCGGAAUUAUUUUGCUAGUUUUAAGGCAACUGGGAACUUUCCAGUCGCGAAUGACACGUUUACAAUAUAGGUUAUAGGUUUCGCAAUUACUUUAGAAACAAAUUUAAUUAGGGAGCAUGGGAGUUCAUCCGGCCCUGCUGAUCUUUUGUUUUUUAUUUUUUUGUUUAUAAGCGUUAUCAUUUCUGGUUCACAAAAGGGUGUUAGAUACAAAGAUUUUGGAUUAUGGUUUAGUUUAAUUGUUUUGCUUGUAUGUUUGGUAAUUUUUGCAAUUGUCUCAUUGGGAAUGUUUUUAAAGUGGUUAUUGAAAGAUUCUGCGACAUCGUGGGGGUUUUCAAUGUACACUGAACCCUUUUUCAAUUUCAAGUUUCUAGUUUGGGAGCCGUGUUUGCUUUUUAUAAAUGACCAAGCGCUUUUUACCAUGUUAUCUGAGUUAAGAAUGGUGUUUUGGACAUACGCCCUGCGAACAUGUUUAAUUAGGGUCAUAUGCUUCCUUUUCAUUUCUAUGUAUUGAGGCUUUAGCUCGGGAUAUUUACUUUGUAACAUGUAGAAUGACUUCAAGUUUGCACUAGACGUCCUCACGUCCUCAUUAACCCACCCUUUAGGAACGUUUCCGUUUUUGUUUUUAUAUAGAUAAGGAAAGACAUUGUUGAAGUGGUGAGACACUAUCUUACUAAAUAUAUUAAAAGCAGUCUCUACAUCCGAUCCUCUUAACACUGGAUCCCAAUCUUCUAUUUCCAAUUGACUAUAGAAUUCUCUACGGCGAUUUUCAUUAUAACUUCUAAUCCGAAUUUUUUCGCUUUGAUUUGGAGCAUCUAUAUUUGAUUUUAUGACAACGGUACUGUGAUCAGAAAUGCAGUUUUGUAAAACAUUAACUAACACUUGUGAAGACAUGGUCUAAAAGUUUACCUUUCCUAGUAGGUGCGUUUAUGGUACUUACCAUAUUAUAAGAGAUCAGUAGCUGACUUAUUUUACUAAAAAGACAGUUAUCUCUAACGGGAUCAACAUUAAUAUCCCCCAGCAAAAUGAAGUAAACAGUUGGUGUAAAUAGAGAGUCUAGUACAGCCUGCAACUUGCUGCAAAAUUUGUCAAACUCCCCGCAUGGUGAGCGAUAACAUGCUGUGCCACAGAUUUCAAAGGUUUUUUCUUCACAAUAAUUUUCCAGAUUUACCGCCGUGACAUCUAGAUUUUUACGGCACCAAAUUCCAACACCUCCACCUUUAUAAAUAGACCUACAAUAGUGCGAAAUCUUUCUAAAAUUAGGAAAGUUAACAUUAUUGAUAGAUACUUUAGUACACCAUGUUU